CUCGGGAGCCUCCACCCAGGCGCAUGGCUCCAUGAAGCAAGAGGAGGAGGCAGAGCGCGAGAGAUCCCGUCCGCCCCAGCCGCGUCUGGGCCAGGAGAAAAGCAAAACCAUAUUCCUGCUGCUGUCAGUUUUGAUGCACUGAGAAAACUUCAGAGACCUAAGCUUUUUCCAGAGAAGAGAAGCUUUACUGGUGUUCCAGCCCUAAGUCUCGCUCUG
rnacentral:lncRNA from 1 species